rnacentral:rRNA from 1 species
GAAACUCAAAGGAAUUGACGGGGGCCCGCACAAGCGGUGGAGCAUGUGGUUUAAUUCGAAGCAACGCGAAGAACCUUACCAGGUCUUGACAUCCCGUUGACCACUAUGGAGACAUGGUUUUCCCUUCGGGGACAACGGUGACAGGUGGUGCAUGGUUGUCGUCAGCUCGUGUCGUGAGAUGUUGGGUUAAGUCCCGCAACGAGCGCAACCCUUGUUCUUAGUUGCCAUCAUUUAGUUGGGCACUCUAAGGAGACUGCCGGUGACAAACCGGAGGAAGGUGGGGAUGACGUCAAAUCAUCAUGCCCCUUAUGACCUGGGCUACACACGUGCUACAAUGGACGGUACAAACGGUUGCCAACCCGCGAGGGGGAGCUAAUCCGAUAAAACCGUUCUCAGUUCGGAUUGUAGGCUGCAACUCGCCUGCAUGAAGUCGGAAUCGCUAGUAAUCGCGGAUCAGCAUGUCGCGGUGAAUACGUUCCCGGGUCUUGUACACACCGCCCGUCACACCAUGGGAGUGGGUUUCACCAGAAGCCGGUCGCUUAACCCACAAGGGAUGGCGCCGACCACGGUGAGAUUCAUGACUGGGGUG